GGGUGAGGGAUCUAAAUUUGAAUGUCGCUAUUAGAAAUUGAGAUGCCAACCAAUUAAACUAAAUCUUAUUGAAAUAUUGGAGAAAACUAAAAUGAGUUGCACCACACAUCAUGUGAGAACUCAACUAGUUUUCAUAAUAAAUGGACCUUUUCUUUAACAGCCCUUUUGCAUUGCAUGCAUGUGUCUUGAAUAAGGUAGACAGAGCUUCAGUUAUUUUUGAACCCACCACAACACCAAGAAAAAGAUUGGCCAUUGACUUAUUGCUUCAGUAAAUGGAUUACGUAGAAUCCUACGUAAUCCAUUUACAAUUGAAUAACAUUCAUUAUCAUUCAUAGAAACAAAGGUCCUGCAUUGUUAGUUGAUGUUCCAAGGGAUAAGAAUAUUACUGGUCCUGCACUGUUAGAGUUAAUGAUGAGUGAUUUUUCACUUGUUCCAUUUGUUUUAUAAAUAUAUGAAGGCAACUGCUAGAGGGGAGGAGGGCAUGGCACUCUUUUUUGUCUACUACAAUCCAAACUGUGGCCAUCGGUGGAGAGAUUGAGAGUCUAGGUUUUGAUGAUAGUAGUAUUCUAUGAUGAGAGUAUGUCAUAUGGAGUUUAGAAGACUUUUAUUAUUGAUCCAUGGACCUUCAUGUUAGUUGAAAACAUGUUUUCAAUAUUUGUUGCUUUUCAAAUUGUUUUAUAUACCAUAGUUACUAGUUGAGUGUUGGCAUAUGUUUUGAUAUGCCACUUUAUUUUUUGUUGACCAAAAUCUCCACCAAUUUCUUGGUCAUACUUAAUACUUAA